rnacentral:tRNA from 1 species
CGGUCGUGGCGGAAUUGGUAGACGCGCAGCGUUGAGGUCGCUGUGGGGCAACCCGUGGGAGUUCGAGUCUUCUCGACCGCACCA